ACUCCUACGGGAGGCAGCAGUGAGGAAUUUUGCGCAAUGGGGGAAACCCUGACGCAGCAACGCCGCGUGAGUGAUGAAGGCCUUCGGGUCGUAAAGCUCUGUCAAGUGGGAAGAACUUGGAAAAUGUUAACACCAUUUUUCACUGACGGUACCACUGAAGGAAGCACCGGCUAACUCCGUGCCAGCAGCCGCGGUAAU
rnacentral:rRNA from 1 species